GAUGAACGCUAGCGGGAGGCUUAACACAUGGCAAGUCGAGGGGCAGUAUAGGGUAGCAAUACUCUGAUGGCGACCGGCAAACGGGUGAGUAACGCGUAUGCAACCUACCCUGUACAGGGGGAUAACCCGGAGAAAUUCGGACUAAUAUCCCGGUAAUAAUAUCCCGGAGGCAUCUUUGGAUAUUUAAAGUUCCGACGGUACGGGAUGGGCAUGCGUAACAUUAGCUGGUUGGUAAGGUAACGGCUUACCAAGGCUAUGAUUUUAGGGGGGGGGGGGUCCUGAGAGGGUGGUCCCCCACACUGGUACUGAGACACGGACCAGACUCCUACGGGAGGCAGCAGUGAGGAAUAUUGGUCAAUGAGCGCAAGCCUGAACCAGCCAUCCCGCGUGCAGGAAGACGGCCCUAUGGGUUGUUAAACUGCUUUUCCAGGGAGAGAAACUUACGCACGUGUUGCGUGACUGACGGUACCCUGGGAAUAAGCAUCGGCUAACUCCGUG
rnacentral:rRNA from 1 species